AGAAGAUUCAAGUUCAAGUAGUUCUGACUCCAGCUCUGAAGAUGAAGCCCCUAAAAAGGCUACACCUGUUAAACCAGUAACUCCCAAAGUUGCUGCAAAACCAGUAACACCAAAAGCAGUUGCUAAAGAUUCAAGUUCCAGUAGUUCAGACUCUAGUUCCAGGGAUUUUUUUUGUCUUAUUUUAUAGUCGAUAUUCGGUCAUUCCCAAUCAUUUUCAUAGUAUAUUAUUUUCCUAAUCCACAGGAAAAAAUUCCCAAUUGAAAGUUACAAAAUAAAAAUAUUUAAAAACAAAUUCUAAAAUCUUGGAAAAUAAGGACUUUUUCACUGUUAUGGUGUUUAAUAGUUUGAAGAUGCCUUCCUAGACAGUUAUUCUUUGCAUUCAUUUAAUCACUGCAAAAUUUAAGUCAUGCAAUUUUUCCCAAAUUUUAACAAAUUAUCGCUGAAAUUCCCAAUUCCAUGGGUAUGGCUCAUGUUCCCAUAAUCCUGGUAAAAAACACUAGAGUUCAGAAGAUGAAGCCCCUAAAAAAGCUGCAUCUUCAUCUUCAAAUAAACAACAAUCCCCGGUGUAUCAAAAUAAAAAUGUUAGGACUCUUACUCCAAAAAUUCACCAGGGUUUGUACAGUCUUAAAAAGUGCUUAAAUUUGAGUCUCUUUCUUAAAAAGUGCUUAAAAAUGUAAAAAAGUGCUUAAAAGUCCUUGAAUUUGAUUACUCUUUUGAAAAGUGCUUAAAAAGUGCUUAAAUUUGCUAAAAUGUGCUUGAAAAUAUUUGAAUCACAGAAUUACAUAGUUUUGAUAAAAAUCAACGGUUAACAAAAUAAAAAAAAAGAUCCAAUUUAGUAUCAAAAUCAAUGAAAUGUUUACUCAAGGUAACAGUAAGUGGACAAAUUGCAGUUGUUUUGAACUAAUCUGUAUUUGAUGCACCCUUUGUUGUUCUUGUAUAAUGUCAGAAAAUGUGUAUUCAACAAAAAAUGGUGAACAAACUAUCCAUCAUAGGUUGAAGAUUGUGUCGGUAUAUGUGCAACAAAUGUGCUGGAAAAAUGGGAAAACGUGCUUAAAUAGUGCUUGAAAAGUCCUUGAAUUUUGGCAUUUGAUGUCUGUACGAACCCUGUAAUCACAGAUAAAUAAAAAGGACAACUCAAGUAGUUAAGUGACUCUAGCUCAGAAUCAGACGAUGAAAAUACAAAGACAGUGAAUACCUCUAAAGUAAAUAAAUCCCAAAGUGUUCCAAAUAAAUCACAAAGUAAAUCAGACUCUAGUUCAGACAGUGACUCCUCAGACUCUGACAAUGAAAAAUCUAAAUCUGUUUCAAAAUCACCUGGUUUAACACCAGUUAUUGGUAAAACUAAAGCGGGGAAACAAAAUGGUCCAGUAACUGCUACACAAUAUUCCAAGGUAAACGGGGAUGCUGAAGAGAGUUCUGAUGAUUCAGAAGUUAGCUCAGGCUCACGUGAAGUUAACUCUAAUAACAAGAAUAUUACCAGUCAGAGUAACAGUAAAACACAGAGAAGAAGGAGCAGUCCUUUUAGACGUGUAAGGGAGGAGCAAGUUGAAGUAGAUGAAAGUUUGAAGGAUAAUUCAUUUACUGCGAAGGUGCUGAGCUCUUCACUGGCAGGCCAAAAACCAUUCCAAUAUCUGUUCCCAUGCCAACAGGGGUUCCAGCCCCGUCUCCUCAGGAUGUUGCUUUUGCUAAUCAGAUGUUGAAAAAUGCCUACCCCCACCAAGUCACCAGAUGGCUGAGCAGUUUUUCCAUGCUGCAAGUUACGGUCCACCACCCCCUGUGACUAGCAUGCAGACAGUAUCCCAGUAAUAGUCUACUCUAGGCAAGACAGGAUAAAAUACCUCAGACAUUUAAAAUCCAGGGAUGAUGUGGACUGAAAAAUAUCUUAAAUUUCAGCUGAAAAAAGCAUAUAUAUUUUGAAAUUGAUGGAGAUCAUAUUGAAAGAGUUAUUUUUAAGUAAGCUGUGAUUUUUACAAGCAUGUUGCCUUAUUAUAUAGUGACUUGUCCAGGGAUGAUGUGGACUGAAAAAUAUCUUAAAUGUCAGCUGAAUAAAGCAUAUACAAAUGUAUAUUGAAAUUCAUGGAGAUCAUAUAAUAUAUAUUAUAUUAACACUGUUAACAUGCCUCAGGUUUUAAAGGAAAAAAAAAAGUUUUAAGUAUUCAUUUUAGUAUUUAUUUUCUUUACAAAGGCCAUAAAACAUUGUCUUUAAAGGGACUCCACUGAGGUUUAAAAGCCUUAAAACAUAACAUUUAAAUUUUUUACAUAAAUGAGCUGUGACACUUUAAACAGAUAUAUAUGCAAAGAUAGGUAAGAAAUAUACUUUGAAAUAAAUUGAAAGUCGUAUUUUUAUGCUUUUCAUAGUCCAAUUUGAGUAAAAAGCGUUUAAACGCUUUUCAUUUUGGGUCAUUUUUUCACAAUUUGAAUAAUUAUUCUGGAAAAACAAAGUGCGCGAAUGAUCUGAAAUUUUGCACAAAGAUUAGUGGUAUAAACCUACAUCAACUGGCACAUUUAUCUGGAAAAAAUAUUUUCAGUCCCAUCAUGUCAAACAACCUCAGUGGAGUUCCUUUAAGCAGUUGAAGUGAUAUUUCAUUGAUAAGAAUUUUAAAAAAGAAAAAUAAAAAGUAUUAUUUAUAAAUUUUCACAUAUAUUAAUUAUUAAAACUCAAAAGAUCUUUUCUUGUAUGCAAGAUUUCACUUCAAUUUUUACUAUUUUAUAUGCAUGUUGCAUAUUAAAGUGUAGGUAAAGCUUUUGCCAUGACUUAAAGUUACAGUGCUUGUGUUUUUACCAACUGGGUUGUUACAGAAAAGUGAUCUUUAAUUCCUAGGUUGUAAAUUUUGUUUAAAUGUCUAUUAUUUUUAUUUUGUGUUUUUUUUUAGAAACUUAAAACUUAACAGAAAUGUUAAUGAAAGUUUGUUAUGAAACGUUUAAGUGUUUUUUCAUUGCUUUAUAUAACCUAGUAUUAAGCAGUUAUUAAUGUUUGUAAAGGUUUCCUUGAUUUGUGAAAAUACAAAGUUUUUUGUUUUUAACUGUUGUUUUUUCCUCUCUCAUCUUAUUUUAUCUUAAGUAUCAAAAUACAUACAACUAUUAUAAUGCACCAACCCCAUUUUUGAAAAAAAAAACACAUGUGUUUUCUGAUUUUAAAUAUGCAAGUUAUCUUGUGACAGCUGCAUGCAUUCAAGUGCAAUCAUAUUUUUAAUACACAAGCUUAGUUAUAUUGAUGUUUAUUUUUUUUUCCCAAAGUUGCGUUGAAGGAAAAGCUUUCAUGUAAGGAAGGUUUUUGUUUUCAUUGACGCAUCAUUCAUGCUAUACUGAAACUUCCUGAAUUAACUUUUAUGUUUUAUUUUCUAUAUUGAAACAUUGUUAUUUUGUUUUUGUUUUCAUUCAUAUCAAUAUAUAUAGUUUUUCCUUUUGUUUUUGAGUCAUAUAUAAGAAUAUUAUACAUAUAAAAUGUGUUUGAACACUCAUUGGCUAAAUAGGAAAUAUAAAGAAAAAUAAUAAAAAAGAAUGUGAUAAUGGGUCAUAGUAUGGCAAGUUAUUUUACACCACUAUCACUUUCUCUACUUGUAAUAGGGUUAGUAGGUGAACAGCAUGGAUCCUGAUCAGACUGUGCGGAUGAACAGACUGGUCUGGAUCCAUGCUGGUCACAAACGCACUAUGUUGGUUUUGUCAUGGCGCGGCUCAAAUUUGAUUCACAUCUGAUUGGAUUUAUGAACGUUUUGUGCCAAAGUUGAGAGAAAUAGCACAAAUUUUCAAUAAUAAAAAGCUCCCAGAACAAUAAAUAAAAAAAUAUGUGUUUGUAGCUUAAAACAAUUGUUAAUUCCUUGUAGAUAUUUUAACCUUUUGCCUUCUGGUGGCAACGGAUUCUACCCAUGUAACCAACAUCAUGAUGUUGGAACUCAGUUCCCUCAAAUAAUUUGUAUAUUUGACCUGGAACAUAAUUUUCAUUGAACUGUUUUUACUAUUUUACAAGUAACAGCCUUGAUCUAUUUCUUAAGAUGAGAUUAUUGGAAAAAAUAAGCAAAUUACACCUAGAAUGUUUAUAUGUCAUAUGCUUAAAAAGUUUAGGUUGUAAAGAGAAUCUGCACUGUUUAUGAAAAUUUUCCAGAUAAAAGUUAGAAUCUUAAAACAGUGUUAUCAAUUUCGAAAAUACUUUCAUUUUUUUUCCUCCAUUUUAUGUCUAUAAAACGAAGUCAUUGGCAGUUGAGUUUGUUUGUCGAAAUUUUGUGCCAAUUUUCUAGUUGUGCUGUUCGAGUUUGUUUGUCAAAUUUUGUGCCAUUUUUCCAUGUAUGAAAUAGGGAUAUUAAAUUUUUUAGUGUUGAUAAAUAUGUUUCAUUUACACACAUGAUGUUAGCAGUACUUGGGUUUUUAGACUGAAAUCCUUAACAUUUGAAUGAACCAAGUACUGAGUGUAAGAUAACUUUAUGUAUAUAUUUUAUGAUGAUCUAGACAGAAAACUGAACCAUUUGUGUAUAAAUGAAACAGAUUUUAAAUUGGAAGCUGAUACUGUUUAUAGCUGGAUACCGGAUUAAGGCUGAAAAAGAUGUCAAAGGAUAAACAAUUUUAGGACUAGGUACCAAACUUGUAAUGAAUUUGGAAAAGAUUCUAGCAUUGUAAAUAUAAAUUUGAAACAAUGACUUAUAAAUAUAAACUUUCAAACAAUGACUUAUGUUUAUAGAACUUAAAAAUUAAAUUUGACUGGUAUGAAAUCUUGACUUAUUUAGGAAUGUUACUAGAAUUAUGGAGAUAUAUGAUGGUAUGGUACCAAGCUUUGGAGUGAUAAAGGGUACCAGAGUUUCAAGUAAAUGUUUGGUGACAAACCUAGUGUUAAGGAAAGGGUACCAGAGUUUGUUAAAAAGAAUCAAGUCUUAAAACUAAAUGAUUAUGUCUGUGACAGAUAUGAGAUUUUGCUGCUGUUUUCAGUAGUAACUUUUAUCUUUUACACAUGUUAACUGUUACGUUGUUUUUUUUUUUAAAACCAUACUCAGCAAUAAGGUUUUAUAAUUGCACAAGAACAUGUUAGUACAUGUAUUAUACUUGAUUUAAACAAAAUAUACAGCAAUGUAAAUUUGCAUGGAAAAAGCUUUAUUACAUAGUGUGUUUCUAUAUUAUAAUCGUGCUUGAUUUUUGAAAAGAAUACAUAAUGCAGUAGGGAAUUGAAAUCUUGAUUAAAAAGAAAAAGUAAGAAAUUAGCUUAUUUAUUUUUUAAUUAUUAUUUUUUUUUGUAUCAUGCAGAGCUAAAUUGAUCACUGAAUGUAUUAUUGUCUGAUUAUAUGGUUUAAAAGAUUAUGAUUAAAAGUGAAAACUGGAAAUGAAAAUGAAGAGAUUUUUUUAUCCGUGAUUAUGUAUAAAUUGGCCCUGUUUACUCUUGUGACUUGUCAAGCCACUUUUUUUUCAACUUCCUUUUACCCAAUAUUUUAAGGAUUAACAUUUUGUACAGAUGCCAGUUUUUAUUUAAGGAAAUCAUAUACCGUAUAUGGUCAUUGACGGAAGGGACUACCACCAUGAAUGGAGCCUGUGGUUUGAAUUGUGACUUGAUAAAGGGAAAAAAAUAAAGGAAUAAUCAGGAAUGUCCAAUGCGCUUAUUUUUUUAAUGACCGCAGUUUUACGGUUGUCUUAAGCAUUUCAUUGGAAUGCAUUAUAUUUCCUUAGCAACAUCUAAGUUUUGUAGGUCAGUGCACAGUCCAACCAAGUCUGCAAUUUUACAAUUAAUUUUGCUGUUUUUAAAUAUCACGCAAUAAUUGUAGACAGGGCCAAAUGAAUUAGUCAGUUAAUUUUUUAAUGGAAGGAAGGUGAUAUUAUUUGCCUUUGCUGUAGUCAUAGAUUUGCUGGUGUGAACAUUUCAAACGUUAAAUUCAGGGUAGCAUUGGGACUAGUUGAUUUAUGUUAGACCUCGUUAAAGUAACUCUUGCCAUUUUGAUUUUAGCACUUGAUUUUAUUAGUCAUUUUUAUGUUGAUUUUUACUUUGAUAACUUUUGUUUUAGAUGGUUUAUAAAGACUAUUCCAUUAUCUUUUGGUGUUUGUAGUAAAAAAUAAGAUAAGAAAUGGUUAAAAUUCAAUUGAAGAUUUUUCGGGGGAGGGGGUGUUUGUGUAGGUGGUUGGGUUAAGGUUGGGAAGGUGGGUGGGAGUGUUUUCUUAAUAAAGUCAUAAUGGAAUCGUCUUUGUAAACAUCAUAGGUAGUUGUUUUUAGUAUUUUAUUUAUAUGUAAUCAUUUGUAAAUUAAGGGAUUUUGAAGCAUUUCAGUAAUAAUUUUUGAUUCAUUGUAUAAUUAUGUUUUCCUGUAAAUCUCCUCUUUAUUUGACAAUCUGUUGGAUAAUUUUGUUGAAAUGCAGUGCUUAUAUAACUAUUUGGCGAGGGAAAUUUAUGUUUUACUUAUUGAAAUCUUAAAUCAUGUUCAUUAUCUGUAAUUAUUUUGUGACUACACAUAGUUGCAUGUGACUUAUUAAGGUUGUGAUUAGAAAGUUGCCCUUUCUUUAACAUGUGAAACUACAAAUUAUAUGUGCUAAGACAGUUGCCCUUUCUUUAACAUGUGGAACUACAAAUUAUAUGUGCUAAGACAGUUGUCCCUUCUUUAACAUGUGGAACUACAAAUUAUAUGUGCUAAGACAGUUGCCCUUUCUUUAACAUGUGGAACUACAAAUUAUAUGUGCUAAGACAGUUGCCCUUUCUUUAACAUGUGGAACUACAAAUUAUAUGUGCUAAGACAGUUGCCCUUUCUUUAGCAUGUGGAACUACAAAUUAUAUGUGCUAAGACAGUUGUCCCUUCUUUAACAUGUGGAACUACAAAUUAUAUGUGCUAAGACAGUUGCCCUUUCUUUAACAUGUGGAACUACAAAUUAUAUGUGCUAAGACAGUUGCCCUUUCUUUAACAUGUGGAACUACAAAUUAUAUGUGCUAAGACAGUUGCCCUUUCUUUAACAUGUGGCACUACAAAUUAUAUGUGCUAAGACAGUUGUCCCUUCUUUAACAUGUGGAACUACAAAUUAUAUGUGCUAAGACAGUUGCCCUUUCUUUAACAUGUGGAACUACAAAUUAUAUGUGCUAAGACAGUUGCCCUUUCUUUAACAUGUGGAACUACAAAUUAUACAUGUAUGUGCUAAGAAAAAUCAUCUGUGAAAUCACCUGUUGCCAAAAGAAAAAAAGUGUUGUUGAAUUUUUUUUUUUAUCGUAAUGAUGACCAGUCAGUUAGUACAUACUGGACACAUAGACUCCUCAAAAUUUACAAAUAUUUUCAACAUUUAUUAAUAAACAUAUAACCUUAUUUAUAACUUUGAUUGUAUAAUUCAGGUUUGUGAAAAAAUGGUUAUUUGUAUGAACAAUUGUUAUUAGAGUGAAACAAAUGAGCCGCGUCAUGACAAAACCAACAUAAUGGAUUUGCGACCAGCAUGGAUCCAGACCAGACUGCGCAUCUGUGCAGUCUGAUCAGGAUCCAUGCUGUUUGCUUACCUACUCUAUUACAAGUGGAGAAACUGACAGUGAACAGCAUGGAUCCUGAUCAGACUGCGCGGAUGCGCAUGCUGGUCUGGAUCCAUGCUGGUCGCAAACCCAUUAUGUUGGUUUUGUCAUGACACGGCUCAAAUUAUUAUUAAGGUUGAAUUGUGUGUAAUGCACUAAGGUAAUACUUAAAGGAAGAUUAUCCAUAUAUUUAGAUUUAUAACUUGAAUGGAGAUAAUCAAGGUAUUAAGAUUUUUUUACCUGAAGGGAAAUAAUCAAGGUAUUAAGAUUUUUAACGUAAAGGGAGAUAAUCAAGGUAAUAAGAGAAUCCAAAACCUUUUAUGAUUUUGGAAGCAACACAUUUAGUUAUAGGUGAUAAUGAAAUUUAAUAUACAAUGUACUUAUAACUUAUAAGUCCCAUAAUUUUGCCAUUUUAUGAAUUUAAUAAGCUUCCUAUAUUUUUCAUCAUGUCUUAAAACAAUUAAUGUUCAAUGUAUAAUUACGAACUUCUGAAUUCCGGAAACUUCCAAAUUCUGAACUUUUUGGCUAGUCCCACAGGUGUUCGGUUUUCAGAAGUUACACUGUAACACUUAUUAAAUUAAGAAGGACCUAACCUGUUACUGCACUAAGGUGACUAAUAUUCUUUUCCUCAUUAAAUAUAACUGAAAUUUGAAGUCACAUUUUCAUGUUUAAUAGUUAUUCAAGUUACUAGUGGAAUGUAGCCUAAAUGAGGUUAAUAUGACCAGAGAGCAUAAUGUCACUUUAAAAAUAUAUUUUACAUUACCUUCAAACUAUAGCAUAAUGUCACUUUAAAAAUAUAUUUUACUAAUAGUGUUUAUUUUUCCAUUAUUGUCUUUUACUCAGAUUUGCAUAAUAUUGAAUAAAAGUUGUUAUGUACUUGUCAAGCUGUUUGCCAUAUGAUUUGUAAUUGUUCCAUAUUUUAUUAAAACAACUAAACAGAUAA